AUGUGCAGGUACGAUGUGGCUUUGAAUUCAAAUGCCUUAGGAGCCAAAAAUGUAUGCGAGUUUGGAAAGAAGUGUUGUAAUAUGAAACUCUUACUUCAUGUUUCAACAGCUUUUGUAGCUGGUACCCAAGAAGGGUUGCUGCUUGAGAGAGCUUUCCAUAAUGGUGAAACACUAAGAGAAGGUUACUACUUGGACAUUGAAGAAGAAUUACAAUUGGUUAGGAAUGUGAAGACAGAACUCAUGGAAGCCUUGAGUGAUAGUUCAGAAAAAUUAGAGAAAUCUAAAAUGAAGGAACUUGGCUUAAAGAGGCCAUACAAGCGACUCAUGUAUAAGACCGGAAAAAAUCAAGAUGCUAAGAUGUUCCAUGUGUUAGCUUGGUGUCUGCCUCCAGGUAUGAUGUUGAUUAUUACUUCUUACUAUAUUUUUUAA
rnacentral:rRNA from 1 species